rnacentral:misc_RNA from 1 species
GAUGAAGAACGUAGUGAAAUGCGAUAAGUAAUGUGAAUUGCAGAAUUCAGUGAAUCAUCGAAUCUUUGAACGCACAUUGCGCCCCCUGGUAUUCCGGGGGGCAUGCCUGUUCGAGCGUCAUUUCACCACUCAAGCCUCGCUUGGUAUUGGGCAACGCGGUCCGCCGCGUGCCUCAAAUCGACCGGCUGGGUCUUCUGUCCCCUAAGCGUUGUGGAAACUUUCGCUAAAGGGUGUUCGGGAGGCUACGCCGUAAAACAACCCCAUUUCUAAGGUUUACCUCGGAUCAGGUAGGGAUACCCGCUGAACUUAAGCAUAUCAAUAAGCGGAGGA